UCCUUCCUUUUUGACUGGACUAUGCUGGAAGCAGAGAGUUGAUGUUUCAACACACACAAACACACAUUCUCUCUCUCUCUCUCUCUCUCUCUCUCUAUCAGCGUCCCCCCUCUCUUUCUUUCUCUCUCUCUCUCUAUCAGCGUCACCCCUCUCUUUCUUUCUCUCUCUCUCUCUCUUUUCUCCAUUGAUGCUCAAUCUUUAAGCUUGAAAUGAGAGUCCUUAGAGUGAGAUUUUGCAAAAAUGUUGUAAAUGAAAGUUGGAGAGCUCGUCGUGAUCUUUGCAAUGGUAUUCUCAAAUUCAUGAUCGGAUGAUGUUUGCAUUUUCAGAUUGCUUUCUUCAUAUUUGAGGAAAUGUUUUUUGGAUUUGAAGAUCAAACAAUGAGUUUUACCAUUUCAUAAGUGUAAUGUAGUGAUGGAUUGUACUACUUUAUUUGUCUGUUUGGCCGAGUGCUAUUAUUUUGUAAAGAGUAGUGUCCUCUCUUUUAUUGUAAGCCUCAGGGCAUUUUUUUUUAUUUGUAUGUAAAUGUCUUUAUUGUAUCACGAGAGGGAACAUGUAUAUUUAAUUAUUCAUCAUUUCAUCAAAUGAUGAAUUGCCA